rnacentral:lncRNA from 1 species
UAGUAAAAUAAAUUAAAUUUUAAAAUUUUGAGAUAUUGUAUUCAUAAUAAGUGUUGUAUUGUUUGCUGCCUCCUCAUCCUCUCACGUGAAGGACUUACACAGGGGCCAGUUGGACUGAGAGUAUUGUGGCUGGCUAAGACUGGCUAAUGUCAAAGGGAUAUCGCCUGGAAAGUAGUCUCUGCUCUAAUAGUAUUGAACGUUUAUUAACAAAGUAGUUUUUUUUUUUCCUGGUACUAGGGAUCAAACUGGACCUUGUGCUUGUGAGGCAGGCGUGGCGCCACUGAGCUAAAUCCCUGGCCUCAGAGCUAGAUGUUUGAUAGAAGAAGCUUCUGCAUAUAUUUUUGGUCUAAAAUUUUCAGUUUUCUUUGGAACAAUUUUAGAUCUACCAAAACUUUGUAGAAGAGAGUUCCUAUGCCCUCACCCGAAGUCAGCUUCCCCUCAUCUAGUCGUGUAUUGCUGUGGGAUGUUUGCCCAAACUGAGAAGCCAGCAUUGGUGUGUUUCCGUUACUCCAGUUUUUCUGUUCUGUCCUAUUCUGGGACUCAGUACAGGACACCACCUUGGUCUGUUGUUAUUGCUCCUUAGUCUCCUCUGGUUUGUGACAGUUUCUCAGUCUUACCCUUGGUUUUCAUCACCUUAACAGUUUUGAGGCAAAUGAGAUAGGCAGGGUUCAGAAUGUCCCUCAGUUGGGGUUUCCCUGGGGUGGCAGGUUUCUGGUAGGACCACAGAGGCGCCAUGGCUUUAUUGUGACAUCAUCUUGAGUGUACAGUGUUACCACAUGAUGUCACUUUGUUACCCUUCAUCACUUCGUUAAGGUGGAAGCUGACUAAUUUUUCCUUUACAUGGGAAAUCUCUGGGAAAAUGAGCCAUUUCUCCAAGGAGCCCUGAUGCCUCUCAGUAAGUAAUAAUAUUUAAAGCCUAGAUUUGGAUAGUGGGCAUGAGUUGUUUUGGGUGUUUUGUUUUGUUUUUAAUGUAUGUAAUGUUGAACUUUUCUACCCUUGGCUGAUACUUGAAGGUCAUUGGAAGGCUGUCUUCCGUCCACAUCUCUUGGGGAUGAGCUCUCCUAAGUCACCAAUGUAUUUAUUGAGAAUAAUAUAUGUGAAGUUGUUAAAGCAAUUUAUCAUACAAGGAAACACAAGAACGGCCCCCAGUCUUUAGGAACAGAGUGCUCCGCCGCCCGCCCCCCCCAGUACUGAGGAUCAAAUUCAAGACCUUGCACUUGCCAGAGGAACAGAGUUCUUAAACAGAAUAAAAGACUGGGCUACAUGGAAUUGAACUUACGACCUUGUGCUUGCCAGGCAGGUGCAGCGUCCCUGAGUAAGUCCCUGGCCUGUCACCUUUUUAAAAUGGAGAAACUUAAUAGCCAUCUUGGAGAGUUGCAACUUGAUAAGUAAAGGAAA